rnacentral:rRNA from 1 species
CAGCUCGUGCCGUGAGGUGUUAGGUUAAGUCCUGCAACGAGCGCAACCCCUGUCACUAGUUGCCAUCAUUCAGUUGGGGACUCUAGUGAGACUGCCUACGCAAGUAGAGAGGAAGGUGGGGAUGACGUCAAAUCAUCACGGCCCUUACGCCUUGGGCCACACACGUAAUACAAUGGCCGGUACAGAGGGCAGCUACCUAGCGAUAGGAUGCGAAUCUCGAAAGCCGGUCUCAGUUCGGAUUGGAGUCUGCAACUCGACUCU